rnacentral:lncRNA from 7 species
ACAGUGUUUUGUACUGCGGUGCACAUCCUGCACACUGCUCACUUACUUAGAAGGGAAAUGCCAGUGCUAAGCUUCAGCAGCACGGUAACUUCGUGUUAGUAGUCUUCGCUUCUCGAUCAGUGUGUUUUGAUUGUGUGAUUAUGACGUUCGACCUCUUCUAAACUGGAAAAAAAAGGGAAAAAAAAAAAAAAAAGAAGAAAAAAGAAGAAAAACUUCAUGGCUGAUUUCCUGGUGCACCUCAAACUAAAUUCACAGUAAUGCUGAAUCUUCAGUGUCUGCCUCACAUUGAGCCUUGCCUGGAUCCAAAAAAGCUAUGGUGAAGUUUCUGAAGCAGCCGCUGUGGGAAGAAGCAGGAGUGGGAUGUAGCUGCGUAAGACAGGAAAUACAAUCAGGGUGGAAUUCAAGCUUGACAUGCAGAAACAUGCAGUGAGGAUGCAGAAAUAUUUCUGUACUGUAAGUUCUGGCUGAAUUCAGUCAUGAGGACAAAGAGUCAGGGGUGAUGGAAAUGGGCAACUUCAAAAUGAGAUCUUUGCCUCUACAUGUAAUGAGAGUAACAGAGACCACACCACUGCCCUGCAGGCUACAGAAGCGCAACUCGUAGGCAUGAGAACUAGGGCUGGUGACGUCGUUUUCCAGCAGGUAUUAAUUUGCUGGGUUUGGGUGGUUUGUUCCUGUGAAAAAUGUCAGGUAUAAAUACUGUUACCUGGAAAGAGACCAUCAGGCACAGAUCUUUUUUUUUUUUAUUUUUUUAAAGUAUGCGUGUUAAGGCUUCAAAGCUUCAAAGUCUGCUGAAUGGCAGUCCCUGAGAAUGGAUUAGAUAAAAUCUGAUUAAGAAAUGUAUCAUUUCCUUCUGAGAAACCUGAAAUAAAGAACACUUCUCU